rnacentral:rRNA from 1 species
CCAGAGAACUUAGCAGAGAUGCUUUGGUGCCUUCGGGAACUCUGAGACAGGUGCUGCAUGGCUGUCGUCAGCUCGUGUUGUGAAAUGUUGGGUUAAGUCCCGCAACGAGCGCAACCCUUAUCCUUUGUUGCCAGCGGCUCGGCCGGGAACUCAAAGGAGACUGCCGGUGAUAAACCGGAGGAAGGUGGGGAUGACGUCAAGUCAUCAUGGCCCUUACGGCCAGGGCUACACACGUGCUACAAUGGCGCAUACAAAGAGAGGCGACCUCGCGAGAGCAAGCGGACCUCACAAAGUGCGUCGUAGUCCGGAUUGGAGUCUGCAACUCGACUCCAUGAAGUCGGAAUCGCUAGUAAUCGUAGAUCAGAAUGCUACGGUGAAUACGUUCCCGGGCCUUGUACACACCGCCCGUCACACCAUGGGAGUGGGUUGCAAAAGAAGUAGGUAGCUUAACCUUCGGGAGGGCGCUUACCACUUUGUGAUUCAUGACUGGGGUGAAGUCGUAACAAGGUAAGCGUAGCGAG